rnacentral:lncRNA from 1 species
GGAGGAGGUUUUGUUUUUUGGAGGGUGGCAGUGAGGGAACUGGGCUGCCUUAUAAACCAUAGUAAAGCUUGAAUUGUAUUCUACUCUGCUCAGCACCCCCAAGCCAGGCGUGCUUCCACCUCAAAGCCUUUGCACUUGCUAUCCCCUCCAACUGGAAUAUUCUGCAGAACUCUGCAGAGCUCACUCCCUCACCUCUUUCAUGUCCUUUGCUCAAAGGUCACCUACUCAGUCACCUUCUCAGUGAAGUCUUCCCUGGACUCUGUUUAAAAUUGUAACCACUCCUCCUCCCCACCUCCACAAUUCCCUGUUCCUCACCCCUUCUUUAUUUUUCUUCAUAGUACUUACCACUAUCUACAUACUGUCUACCUGACAUUCAUGAGAGGACACAUUAUUGAGGGCAUGGCACAUGGAGGACACUCAGUAAAAAUGUGUUUAGUGAAUGAAUGGAAGCCAUUAAAGAGAGUUAAGUAGAGAUUGACAUAAUAUAAUUUCUGUUUUUAAAAGGGAGCUGUUGCUGCUGUGGAAAGAAUGGAUUAGGGAAAGACCAGCAUAGAAGCAGGAGACCAGUUGGGAGGCUGAUGCAGUGGUCCAGGUGAGAAAUGAUGCUGGCCUGAGCUAAGAGUCAUGGUAGUGGGUAUGAAGAGGCUGCUUGGGACUCAAGAUAUAUUUUGGAAGUAGUAGCAACAAGACUCCAUCAUGUUAUUGGGGGUAAGGAAAAAGAGACAAUGAAUGAUGCUUCCUCUGGCUUGAGUUACUACGUGAAAUGGGGUACAGUUUAUUGAGGUGGGGGACGAUAGGGGCAGAGAAUCAUUAGUUUCAUUUUGGACCCAUUAUGUUUGUACUGUUUUUGUGACAUCUAAGUGCAAACAGUACUUAAGUUGGAUGUGCAAGUCUGGACCUCAGAGGAGUGGUCUGGGUGGGAAAUACAAAUAUGUAUUGAAAAUCAUGUAAAAAGCAGAUAUUUUAAGGAAAGACAAUGCCCUGGUGGUGGUGGAGGUAGGAAUGGUCUACAGGGAAGAAACUGAGAAAAUGAUGUCCAGGGAGGGUAAGUACAGGAAAGCGUUGGUAGGAAAAAAUGGGGAGAGGGAGGGAGUAGAAGAAAGAGGGAGAUGAGGCUCUGAAUGUGGUGCUGGGAAGGAGGGACAGAAAGCAGGGGGCAAAUGAGAUUAUCAGUCUUAUCCUGUGUGUGGGGACAUGGGCAAUGCCUGCCAGGAUGAAAGGAAUGAGGGAAGAAUAGAGGAGAGGGGUAACUGGAAUAUGAGAGAAAGUACAAGACAGGAGUCAAAGGGGAGAAGACGAGAGCACAGGAUUAGCUGGGAUCAUAACCAGAGAUCCACCCAGCAGCUGUGGCUUAGGAGGUGGCCACAGGUCAGGGCAGUUCAGAGGUCAUGGGGUGGCCCUAGUUUAAGAUUAGAAGGUGGAGGAAUGAGAAGAGAGGUGAGGGUGGAAGGUGAUCCUAAGAACUUGGCCAUGAGGAAAAUAAGAUGAUGCUGUUAGACUUAAACUUUAACAUCAAUUCUAAAUGGGCAAAGGUCCGCCGAAGGCAGGGAUUUUAAGCUAGGAGUCAUAAAACAGCUUCAAGGACAUCCACAAACCCCAUGAAAUUGUUCAGAUGGUUUUAUAAGGUUGGCGCUUUUCUGCAGAAAUAGUUGUGGAUAGCUUCUGUCAGAUUCUCUGAUAUUAUCCUGAUGUUAAAAAAAAAAAAGAAUAAGGAUCUGGUAAGUAGAGCAAGAGAGAGGGUAAAGCCAUAUCUAAAAAGGAAUAUGUCAGUCAAAAGGAGAUGAAUAAUAAAGCACCCAAAGGAGACAAAAAAAAAGAAGCGGGCCAUGCCCACCUAAGGGAGGAGGUCCCCAAUGUGAUCUAAUCUAGAAGCUGCCAUCUUGGAUAAGUGGAAACGGUCAGAUCAGAACCCGACGCAAUGAUUCAUUGACAUUAUAUAACUCAUGCCCCUCGUUCUGACUCCAUACCCACCGAGCAACAUUCUGAUGAGGCACUGUGGAAGGCACUGGUCCACCUGACAGGUAGAUUUUUGUCAUUGUAAAUUACAUAAGUGGCUGUCUUGUUUUCUGCAUCUGGUGCACAUCUCGUGAAUGUUUUUUGUUUGACUCAGCUUUCAGUUCUGGGACUCCAACGUGGUGAAGUUUCUGAGUCUGGUGAAAAGCUGAGUGAGGGCUUGAUACAGGGCCGUGGGGAAUUUCAUCAAAACAUCAUCCAUGAGGCUCUUUAAAAAGUCAGCCCAGUUGUCUUCCCUUGAGAGCGCCUCCAACUUCAGGGGGCACAUAGUUGAGAAAUGUCCUGCCUUUCCUACAGGAAGGAUCUACAGAAGGAACUUUUUCAGUGCUCACAAAUAUGAACUGUCCCCUUUAUAGGCAAUACAGUGAAGGAGUGUCUUUACUCCUUCAGUUUAACUGAAUAAACAAGUGGAACUCAACCCCUCCCACUCUCCACCCAACUCCCUAUUCCCUUAAACUGAGGAAGCACUUGGCUAUGCCCCAGGACUGUGUGUGUCUGCAGGGAAGAAUAAAUGAUCUGCUCCCAGACAAGUCAAUGGAAAGAGCUGGGGAAUAAACAAUACUAAUGGCCAAUACUUAAUGAGCACUUGAUGCCCAGCACUGUGCAAAGUACUUUAUCUUAAUCCUCUGCCAACCUCAAAAACUAGAUACUCUUGUUAUAUUAUAGUCUCGUUUUAUAGCCUUUAGUCACACAGCAGCAGAGGCAAGGUUUUAACCCAAGCAAUCUGACUUGAAGCCCAUGGAUUAACCAGCUCACUCUAGUGCUGCAGGAGGCACACCUAGAAAACCAGGGAGCAGAAGCAUGGCUGCUGUAGAUUGAAUUGUGUCCCCUCAGAAAGGAUAUGUUGCAGUCCUAACCCUGAGUACUCAAAAUGGGACCCUAUUUGGAAAUAGGAACGUUGCAGAUGCAAUUAGUUCAGUUGAGGUCGUAGUAGGGUAGAUUGGGCCCCUGAUGUAAUAUGACUGGUAUCCUUAUGAGAAGGCAGCUGUGUGAAGACAGAGACACACAGGGAGACCACCAUGUGACAACAAAGGAUUGGAUUUAUGCAUCCACAAGCCAAGGAACACCAAAGAUUGCCAGCAAACCACCAGAAGUGAGGCAGAGGCAAGGAAGGCGUCCCCUACUGGUUUCAGAGGGAGCUCAGCCCUGCUGAUACCUUGAUUUUGGGCUUCUUCCCUCCAGAACUAUGAGACAAUCGAUCUAUUGUUUUAUGCCACCCAGUUUGUGGUACUUUGUUGCAGCAGUCCUAGGAAACCGAUACAGUGCCCUUCUUUCUUGAACCCGUGGAUGCCGGGUAGAAAAAAGGAAUGUGAAGUCAUUCAGCAGAUAAUAAAAGGUGGCUGUCCCCUUCCUCCCCUCCAGACCCAAGAUGCUAUGGCUUCACAGGGCAUAGGCCCCACCCAAGUGGCUAUGAUGAAGGGGCCUCAAAUAGGCACCACCCAGGCUCCAGCACCAUCAUCACCUCAUACUUUUGGGGACUUUUCCAGCCGUAUAGUUAAGAUCUUAAUUCUGGUUCUGUUAAGUGGGUGGCUGGCAGUAUGGCUGGCUAUUUCCCAGAGCCCCCUUCACUCUUCCCAGCUUCUUCCACUGGCACUUCAGUUUGGAAGUUAAGCCUAAGAAACUCUACAAACUACUUCAGGCAGGGUGAAGUUCUAACGCAAACCAAUUUAGGUCCUUCAACUACAGCCAAGCUCGUGCAUGUAGAGAAGCAGUUAAAUCAUCAGAGACUCUUACCUACCUCAUUUUAUUCCAUGGAAGGUAUCUCUUUCUGGCCCAACUGUGGGAGUCCCCGCAGGAGGCCCCCGACCAUGCUGGGUGCCUGUAUAUGGAUGCUUGAAUUGCUUGGGCUCUAUAAGAAAACUGUUGUGAGCCCUCUCUGGGUGGGGUUUAUGACCUUUUGUGCAGUGUUUCUGUUAGUUUGCAUACCUUUCUCUGCACCGUUGCAGCUGAGAUGGUCCAAAACCACAAGAUCCAGGAGUGUCAAAUAACUGCAGGGAGAUGGGAACUCCCCUGGGGAUGAGACCUUUAGCCAAGAUGAUCCACUCCCAGAAGUGAUGAGGCAGAGCAUGUAGCAAUACGGGAGCUCACACACUUCACCCAAAUCUUCCAUUGUUCCCAGCCUCCACGCACCCCCUGCCAUUCCAUUGGAACCAUUUCACUCACACUAUUUAUUCUAAAACCUGGGAAGUUUCUUAGUAACCUCUGUCUCCUGUUUGAUCAGGCGCUGCACUUUCCCACAGACUAAUGUGUUCUACCCAGGUCUGCCACUAGCCCACACAGUGGCAUUGUGCAAAUUAGGCAACAGGUGUCCCUGCCCCCAGGCAGAUACUGCCCUGUGCCAGGCUCCAUGGUGAGCAGAGUAAAAUAGCACAUCCUGGAUUUCAGCUGCCGCUGCCCUUGGGCUGGAUGCCCUUGUGCAGGACAUGACCUGCAUGACCCUCCAUGACAUUCCUGCAGUUGGGAGCAAGUCCUGACAGAGCUAGUGCUGUCUACCGUGACACAAUCAGCCAACCAGACUUCUUGGGGUUUGGUGCACCACACUGCAAUGGCUUCAUUCAUUUAAUUGCUGCCAAAGCCUGAAGUAUUGCCAUGCUCAGCAUAAGUACUUAAAGAACAGUUAUUAUCUAAGUAACGUUACCUACCUUCUCAGUUUCCUCAUUUGUCAAAUGAAGAUAAUAAUCAGACCCUUCUUCAUGGGGUUGUUGUGAAGAUUACAUGAGAUAAUCCAUACAAAAUACUCUGCACAGUGCUGAGCCCAAGAAAUAAAAGCUAUUAUUCCAAGUGCUUUCAUCAAUCAAUCAAGAGCAAGUCAAGAUUUAUUCAACAAAUAGGCAGUAAGCAACUAUUUUCUGCCAGGCUUCGUAUAAGGUGCUGUGGUUACCAAGGUGAAUACCCCUAUCUGGUAGGGAAGGUGGAUGUGAACAUACGCAAAGACCGUGUGCGGCGGGGUCAGCGCUGUGACAGAGGCUGUUUUUUGGUGAGGAAAAUUGGCCCUAAGCUAACAUCUUUUCCAAUCUUCCUGUUUUUAUUUUCUCCCCAAAGCCCCAGUACAUGGUUCUAUAACCUAGUUGUAAGUCCUUCUAGUUCUUCUAUGUAGGGGGCUGCCACAGCAUGGCUUGAUGAGUGGUGUGUAGGUCCACACCCAGGAUCCCAACCAGUGAACCCCGGGCCACCAAAGCAGAGCAUGCAAACUUAACCACUAUGCCACUGGGCUGGCCUGUUCUUUAUUAUUUUAAUCAAAUUUAGAAGGAAAAUUUAGCCAAGCCCAAAUGGAAAAAUGGUUUCUUAAAAAAGAAAAGCCACAAAAUAAAUACCAGAGACUAAAUUUCAGGGCCUUUAAAAGUACAAGUGCUUAAGCUGCCGCCUGAAGAUUCUCAUUCAGAGGGUCCCAGGUAUUUCUAUUUUUUCAGACCUCCACAAAUGAUUUUGAUGUUCAGCAGGGUGAGACCCACUGAGAUAGACAUUCAUCAUUAUCCUGUCAAAUGAUCUAAUAAACACUCUGUCUGAUCAGAAAUAGCAGUACAAAGAAAACUUCCAUAAUUAGAAUUUUUUUACCCUAAUAAAAUAUGUUCCUACUUGUGGGUUUUUCCAUUUCCAUUUAUUUAGCUGUACUCUGACAAAUUUGUAGCCUUUGUACGUAAUCCAGAACACAGAAAGGACAGCUUUUGAUAAAUACGUGUGGUUCUGUACAAUGUAAGGAAAAAAUAUGGCAUAGGAGUGAUAGCCAGGGGUUAGCAGGAAGAGGAAUAAAAGCAGAAAAAAAUGUCAUCUGCAUGUCACUCAAAAAGUAUUGAUGGAAUUAUAAGGAUGAUCUCCCACUGUGACCAGCUGUGGCCCUUUCCUAAGGAAUAGAAGUCUCAAAUAGUCUCAUGAGAUUAAUAUGCAUAUUUUUCUUUCUUUUAUAAUGCUGGCAUUGAGUCAUAGGGAGUUAUUGUUAAAGACUAAAGAGUAGAAAGAAAAAGCCAAAUAGAGCCUUGUCCUACCCAGCUUAGCUUCCAAAGAAUAUAAUGAAAAAGAUGGUCGAUUCUUUGAAAAAGUAUUGGCGUUAACUAGUUUUCAUGAUGACUAUGUUUCGAGACCAUCAUUUCCCAAAGUGUGCUCUUUAUAAAAAAUAGUUCCUCAGAAGGCUAGAGGUAUUACUUGAAGGGGUUCCUUCCUUGAUGAAGUACAUUUGUAUUGCAGGAUUUAACCGAGGUAGAGAGGUUUCUUUGAAGGACUUCUCAGGGCCUUUGUGAAUUGCCAAGAAAAGAAUAUAAUAUGAAAUAUGAAAACCUUCUCUUGGUUGAUGGAACAUACUUUGCAAAACACUUCCAUAGACCAUGUGAUUUCCAGUAAGAGCUAAAUAAAUGUUACUUAUUAAAGCAGGGAAAAAUUAAUACUGGGUAUUAUGGUCCUAAAUUUACAUUACUUAAUUUGUAUUUGUCACCUAAGGAAAAUUAACUUUCAUGUGAAAAUUAUGAGAUAAUAUAUAGAAAAUUCAACAGCCUCUCCAGACAAACCCUUAGAACUAAUGAGAAAGUUCAUUAAAGUUUCCAGACAUAAGAUCUUUGCCAAAAGGAAAAUUGCUUUCCUAUACACCAAUAGCAAACAAUUAGAAAAUUUAGUUUUAAAAAUACCAUUUAUAAUAGGACCAAAAUAUACACACUAUCUAGGAAUAAGUCUAAUAAAAUAUGGUCAAAACUUCUACGGAGAAAACUUAGUCUUUAUUGAUAAAGACAUAAAAGAAUUCCUAAACCAAUGGAGAGGUACCAUGUUUGUGGUUUGGAAGACUCAAUGUGGUAAAGAUGUAAGUCUCCAUCUGUCACUCCUUUUGCUUCCUAAUUAAGAUUUACAUUUUUCUUCUUACCCUUUCAUUCUCUUGUUUCUUAGAAUAUCCACAAAUGAAGAAGGUAUUAGCUCUUUCGUUGUUAGAAUUCUGCCUGUCUUAGCAAGCCUCUAAUGAGACAUGUUUUAGCGUUCCAUCUAGAGAUGCCCAAUAAUAACCUGGGGGUUGUUUGUAAGGUUUCCAGUAUAGUGCAAGAAGUUCUUAAACAUUAGUGUAAUAUCAGAUUCCAUGAGCGGCCUAGGCAAUCUAUUUGUGUCUUCCAACUGCUGGAUAUCUCUUUGGUACCUUAGCUAAAAAGAACUUUUCUUGUGCUCCAAAGUGCCCAGUUUAACUUACAAAAUGGAAUGCAGUAGAUGUAAUGAAGGCAGCUUCUUGGCUCCCAACAAUACUCCCAGUGGCCACAUUUGUGCUACAUUUCCUCUGAUAAUUGACUCGACCCUGCGUCACAGAGGUGGGCAAGUGAUCCGGGCUGGGUCGGUUCCAAUGCCUCAUUCCUCUGGCCUGUGAUUGGACCAGGUAGGGGACACUUGACCAACCCUGGGCUGAUCAGUCUUUCCCGAUGGAGGAAAGAAUAAAGCUAACAUGAAAAGAGCAGAAGAGAUAAGAGACCAGUAGUUUUUGAACCCCUGGCUCCAGUCACCCCUUCAUUUGAGUGGGUUGAGGAUAUGAGCCAAUAAAGGUCCCCUUUUUUGCUUAAAUAAAUUCAGUAUGGCUUGCUGUCUCUUACAACCAAAGACUCUUCACAAUAAAUAAGCAGGUGGAAGCUUCAAUUUCCCAGGAGUCUACACAGGCUGCUAGUCACACAGCCAGAAGUUAUUCAGGGAAGCUGAAACACUACAAGUUACAGGAAAAGAAAUUAUUAGAGGAAGGAGACCUUACAUAAUGGUGGGAGGAGCUGGGGAAGUGAAGGAUCAGGAGGAAAGUUGGUGAUCAGAAGAGAGGUCACCAUUUGGUCAAUCAUAGAAGUUAAGCACAUCCAGCACUGAAAUGGCAUGGCUGAGGCAAGGCUCGUGAGAGGUCAGUGGGCAGCUGUGCCUCUGGGUAGCUAGCACCUUUGUGGAUCACUGUCAAGGAUCUGGUGGUGAGUUGAGGGCCACUGUCAGUCAAGAGGGUCAGCAGUUGGAAAGAAGACGUAGAUCAGGAGGAGAGAACAAGGACAGGCUGGAACCCAUGGGCACCUUUGCGUCUAUCUGCAACCACUUCUAACCACAACAGUCUUCAGAAGGCAACAGCUGCUGCUCCACCUCCACCUUCUGUCUCGCGCACAUUCCUCUUUGGACCAACUCCUGCCUGGACCUGUACAGGGAGAGAACUCUGGGAAAUGUAGAUCCCAAGUUAUUCAAGUUGGCACAGUACAAACUGCCCUAACCUUUAUCCAGGCAGCCACACACUGAGAACUUCCUGUAAAGGUUCUCCUGUAAAGAAGGAAAACCAGAUGCUACCAUACUUGACUUGACCGGGGCCUCUGCAGCAGUCUGACCCCGAGCUGCCAGCUGCGCUUCUCCUUGGGCGAUUUUUCUCACACCUUCCCAGGUUCCUAGCUCUGCAGCCCUCUUCUCUAUACCUAAGCACCUUCGAUCCUCCUCUCAGAUCUGUAGGCUUGGCCCUGCCAUAAUUUUUAGGACUGAUUCCAACUUUAGAACAGGAAGGUUAAGGAUGGGUAGUCUGCUGCCUGGCGACAUAGCACAAAGGUAAGUUUGCUCCGAGGUCAGCUUUGACUUCUUGCCCCUGCCCUGGGUUCUCUUGGCUGGCUUCUGCCUUGCUCCAGGAGCCAGAAAUGCCAUUUUGAUUAUCUGCUGAGCAUCCCCUCCAGGGCUCCCAGGACUAAGUGCCUGCCUAGCUUCGUUGCUCCCCAAGCCCCACCUGAGUCCUGCCUCUGAACUCCAGCCGGAGCAACAGCUGCUACCUGCAAACGCGCUUUCCCAGAUAUCAGCUCCUACAAGUUUGAUUUCUGAUUGCGGCAAACCCAUGACAUGCUUGAGCAAGAUUCUCCCAAGCCAUUGUGAACCCCUACAUUGUUUGUGCGGGUGACUUGUUCUCCAGAACCAAAGGGUCACCUGUUUGUUGUGCAUAGCCUCGCACCACAUAUUCACCUCCUUUUCAACUUUCACUAAAAUUGGACUCUCCCUUGAUGACAGUUUCUGUGCAUACUCAAACAGCUUCUUCAGUCUCUUUUUUUGUGUAGAGGACAAGUGGACCUGUUCAUCCCUCUGAGCCCAACCCGGCUGAGUUCGACAUUCAGUUGUAUUUCAUUUUCUGGUUGAAUUUCUCUUUAGUUUGAUACCGGCGGCAGCAGCUGACUUUCUGUUCCAAAGAAAAAACUAUUGUGCUUAUUGUUAUUUUGUAAUUACCUAAGGAAUGUUGCUGCAUGCCCAACCAUGAGCAAAGGACCAGAGUCGAGGCCGCUAGCUGAGAAUAAGGACCAGACAAAAGAGAGAUGGAGCACUGAAGACAUCUUUGACUAUCUAGAUCCAACCGUGUUUGAAGCCAAACAAUCCCUACACUUACGUGAGUCAGCAAAUUCCCUUUUCUGCUUCGGCCAAUUAAAAUUUGGUUUAUGUUAUUUGCAACUGAAAGAGUCGUGUAGUAUUCUCACGCUCUUCACAAACAUCCUGUUUCCUUCUUUCCAGACACGUGAUGGGAGUAUACUUCCAUAUCCUCUUUGAAGUUAGAUGUGGAACGGGACCUGCUUUGACCAAUGACAUGGGAGCAGAUAUUUUAAGAGCCAAUACAAAUUCUCCCACUUCUUUCUCUCUCCAUAGCAACCAGCGGUACUCCAGUUAGUGUUUCUCACGUCAGCCUGGUGUCCAGAGUGAGAGUAACGUGGAACAGAGCCCCCAGCUGACCUGUGACGGACACAUAGCAUGAGAAAG